AAACAACUCUCAGCAACGGAUAUCUUGGCUCUCGCAACGAUGAAGAACGCAGCGAAAUGCGAUACGUAGUGUGAAUUGCAGAAUUCCGCGAAUCAUCGAGUUUUUGAACGCAAGUUGCGCCCGAGGCUUGUCCCGAGGGCAUUCCUGCCUGAGCGUCACC
rnacentral:rRNA from 1 species